CCUCUCCCCUCUUCUUUUCUCUAGGUGCCAUGAGGUCACGGGGAGGUUUGGCGGCGGCGACGCGGGAAAAGGGGAGGGCAUCAACGGUGGGAGCGCAGAGAGCCGGAGAGGGGGGCGGAUGGGCACCAGAUGCGGCCAGCGGUGACGACGGCGGCGGAGAUGGAAAAGAGCGGCAGGCGGCUCCACCGCCGUUACUUGAAGGGAGACAAGGUCGUCGCCCUUCUCCCCGAUGGCCGCUUCCUGCCACCCUUCUCCCCGUCGGCCGCCGGCCGCCAACCACCGGCCAUCUCUUUCUUGCGCGCGCUCGCCGGUAGGCCAGGGAACUCGAGGAGGGAGGAAGGAUGCCAGGAGGGAAAGGGGAGGAGGCAGAAGGAUGUAGGGAGGGAGAGGGAACAUGAGGUCGUCGUCGCUCUUCUCCCCCAUGGCCGCCGUCCGCCGCCCUUCUCCCCACCGGUCAUUGGCCGCCGUCCUUCUCUCUCUACGUGCGCUCACCGGCAAGCCAGGGAGCUCGGGGAGGGAGGAAGGAUGCCGGGAGGGAGAGGGGAGAAAGGCGAUGGGCGGAUCCACCGUCGCCGCUCGAAGGGACAUGAGGUCUUUGUCACCUAACUCCUUCCCGCUGGUCAUGCCCUCAUCCCUGUUGGUCGCCAUCGCGGCCCUUCUCCCCACCGGCGCCGGCCGCCGUCCUUCUCUCUCUUCGUCUAUUGGUUAGAUUGCAUCUGGACGUGUGUAAGGCAAAAAAAAAAUGCAGAAAAAGCACGUCCAAAGAGUAUGUUACUUUUAUAUCAUACAAAGAAAAGACAGAUUCUCCCAACUAAGCUUUUUCAACCAAAACAGAGUAAGCCUUCCAUGUAAACAAUCAGACAAUGGAUGAGCUGAGAAAAAAAAUGCAGGGUGCAGCAUGGAACAAAUUAGCAGGCUGUCAAUUCACUCGCUAUAUAAUUUACUAUGAUGCAAGACUGAUCGGUAGAUGAAAUAAGAUCUGCUCUCUUUAUCAGAGCUUAAGCCAUGGUGUGAGUUUCUGCGGCUGUUCUACCCGGUCAUGGUUUGAAGUGUUGAAGAGGAUGGCUCGGCCCCGUGGUGCGUCGUCCCUCUCCCCCGUUGGCGAUGGAGGGCGGCUGCAAGCGGCGAGAAGCUGGAGGCAGGGUUUCACAUUUCGGACUGAAAUUUCCUAAAUUAUUUUGGAAAUUUCGGAAUGAUCAAAAUUUCGGAAAUUCGGGUCAUUUCGGACCCCUCCAAUACGAUAUUAUUUCAGCUGAAAUUUUUAAUUUAUUUUAAUUUUUCAUGAAUUUUGGUAACAUUUGUUCAAAUUUGAUUAGAUUUUGUUUUAAAUUUUAGAAAUUUCGGACCAAAAUUAUUUCGUCAUAUCGGCAUUGCCCGAUACAAAGGCCGAAAACGAGAAAGUGAACCCUGGCUGGAGGUGGGGAAGAGGGUGAAGACUGAGGAGGUCUGGAGUUAGCGAUGUCUGCGUCGGGUUUGUGACGGCUCGAUCUACCUGUUCGUGAUACUGGACCAGGCGUCCAAGAGGAGGAAAAAAGAUGACAUCAUGGUGGCGACGGUGAAUGUGGCCAUGACUCCGCCCACCCAGUGUCCUCGGCGGCGGCGGCUGCGGCGGCCGGCGGCGACGUCCCGGCCCGUACCCCAGCGUCGCCAGGAUCGCCGAUUCCGACUGCUUCCCCAGUUUGGAAGCCAACCAAGACAAAAGCAAGGGCCAGCAGCAGUUUGAACGAUUAUAACGAGUGUAAAAAAGAGAGAGGUUCUUAGCACAUAUUCGACAAUCAGUAAGAUGCACACUUGGGAUUGACCUAAAAGGCUGAUUGUUGUUCUCUAUCUUGUGCAAAAUGGAAAUGCUGUGUCUGUAUGGACUGUAAAUGCAGCGAAGGACAGUGAAUAGCUUCUGCCAUCACAAGAAUUUCUUUCCAAGUUCUCAAGCAUUGCAGCUUUCGAAGGAGAUGUAAGCUACACAGAUGUUCAAUUAAGGUUCAUGCUAUUGAAAAUCACCGACCACCAGUGUAGU